CGGAGUGGACGCACCACUGGUGUUCGGGUUGUCAUGCCAAUGGCAUUGCCCGGUAGCUAAGUGCGGAAAAGAUAACCGCUGAAAGCAUCUAAGCGGGAAACUUGCCUUGAGAUGAGUCUUCCCUGACCCUUUAAGGGUCCUAAAGGAACGUUUAAGACUAAGACGUUGAUAGGUUGGGUGUGUAAGCGUAGCGAUACGUUGAGCUAACCAAUACUAAUGAACCGUGAGGCUUAACCUGACAACACCGAAGGUGUUUUAG
rnacentral:rRNA from 1 species